rnacentral:misc_RNA from 1 species
CGUAACAAGGUAGCUGUAGGUGAACCUUCGGCUGGAUCAUUACCGAUCAACAAACACCUUUUACGCCGGUUAGCGUUAAGCGAGCCGAAUUUCGUUGUUGCUGUUGGCAAUUUGUUCGUUUGCGCGCAGAUUGUUGAUGGCAAUGGCGAGCGUGUGCGCAGCAGAAAUGUUGUGCAUGCCACCUAAUCGAAAACGAAUCCUAACGGCUUGGUUUGGCUUCUGUGGAAGGUUGAGCAGUUGUGUUAAACGUCCGUGACUGCGCAUGAAACCGACCGACAGCUUCUCCGCUUCGGCGUUGAUGGAGUGAGAAUCAAUGACCCCGAGAGGGCGCCAAACAAACACCCAUUCAUUUGUUUUAUUUUAUGUGAUAUUGAAAGUAACAAAAGUUACUCCGGUGGAUCACUCGGUUCGCGGGUCGAUGAAAAACGCAGUGAAUUGCGAUAAGAAGUACGAAUUACAGAUAUUAUGAGUACCAUGUUUUUGAAUGCAUAUUGCGCCGUUGGGUUAUGCUCAUCGGCAUAUGUGAUUCAGGGUAUGUUUCCAUACAACACAGCUCUCAUUUGUGUCUUCGGAACGGCGAAGUUUUGUAAUAGAGUGACUGUUGAAGACUGGCAACUGUUCGGGCGCCGCCUAACAGCGAGUGUUUGUGCAGUUGUUUUUCGUGGUCAGAUGCUUUUGCAUCGGAAAGCUACGUUUUCGAAGUGGUGUUCGGGUUGGCGUUGGGUCUUCGAUUCGGCGCUCUCGAAACAAUCGGGAUAUUGGCAGCGUGAUUUGCUUGAAACGUUGAUGCGUAUAAGUUGAUUUGCUUUGUUGCAAUUUGAACGCUUCGAUGUGGAGUAGUCGUGUUGUUGAGGGUCGGGCGUUUCUUGCCAUCUUUGGUGGGGAACGUUGGGCUGCCUGGUUGGCACUGUCUUUGCUAGUUUCAAACUACCUGAAUUACGUAUGAUUACCUGCCGAACUUAAGCAUAUCAGUAAGCAGAGGAAAAGAAACAAACAUGGAUUCCCUUAGUAACGGCGAGUGAAA